rnacentral:rRNA from 1 species
UUUCCGUAGGUGAACCUGCGGAAGGCUCAUUA